AGUUGAGGUCAUAUAGAAACCUACUACAGUAGAAUUGCCUUAAAAUAUAAAUAUGUAUGAAAGAAAUCUAAAUGGAAUCAAUAGCAGAGGUGGGAGAGAUGGAAUUCUAACUAACCGUUACCACGUGAGACAGGCAGUGCCGGAAAUGGGUUACAACUGAUCAAAUUGUUAGCCAAAUGGGUCUUGUGGGAACCUAUAACAACCCAAUAUAUUCUCAGUGCUAUUGAUCACAUUCCAUAAGCGAUAAUAAGGCCCCAUUGCUGAAGACAACACCCAGGCAACUCACUGAGAAUGGAAAAGUCAAGCUGAUGCCAGUUUAGAGCCGUCACUCCUACCGAUCAGUGUUCGUGGUACUAGAAUGUAUUCUGCUUGUUACCAGAGAAACCAGGUGUGGACCAAGAAUUACAUUGAGAGAACUAUUGGCCUGGCCUUUUCCUAGUGAAGAUGCUCCAUCUCACCCUGCAGCUAUGAUGGUGACCACAUCUGCUACAGGACAACCCUUGCCUGCCACAGGACUGACUGUCUAUGUAAAAGCUUAACCACUGAGACCAAUGCCUUUCCUACUUGCCUUUCAUGAGUUUUCUCUCUCUGUUUUUCCUCUAGGAUAAUGGUAUUACCCUACAUAUAUCAAAUACAUGAGAAAGUACAGAAUUUUCUAAGACAGUGUCACAUUGCCAUGAGAACUGGAAUAUUCUAGACUUAUCCAUAGUCCUUGUUCUAAAACGAGAUGUGAGAAUCACUUGGAGGCCUUGUUGAAAUAGAUUGCUGACCUCAUCUUCACUUUCAGAGUUUGGGUUCACUCCAGAUGCUUAGAGAUCCAAGAGUUUCCAGCACAUUCUCAUGUUGUGUGGGACCAAUCUUUUAAGGUGUCUGGAACUGAGGGAAUUGCCCUACCAAUGUCCAAGCUGCACAGAAUGCCUCCUCACCCGCUCCGUCGUACAUUUUCCUGCAGCAAUCAGCACUCGGCAUUUUUUCUGUAACUCCUCACUCUUGAGCAUCACUUAAUAACCAGAGGGCACGCUUCAGCCCAGCUUUAUGACUUAUCAUCUUAUCGCAUCUUCUUCUUCUGUGGUAUACUUCUGGGAUGGGACACAGUGAUUGAUUCUCUUGAGAUGAUGUGCUGUGUGCAACUUUGUGUCUGAGAAAGGUGGUUCAGUCCUUCUGAGGUAGACUCAGUUACGUGAACUUGACGACUGCUCACUGAACUGGGUUUGCCUGUCUAAGUAUUUCAGUAAAUGGAGGCCCAUGACUCUUAUUCUAGGUUCAGUCACUGUAAAGACCAGGUGGCACUAGAGAGAUUCUAAGUCUGGCUUGGGACCUAAAGCCUUUGCUGCCUCAGUGUGUACUGCUGUAUGAAAACUACACACUGCUCCACUUUUUUUUUUUAAGAAAAUCUCCUUGCAUAGUCUUGAGACAGCCUAAUAAAGUCACUUUCUUUACCACGGGGACUGUGGAUGAAGAUCCCUGCAGCAGGUGUGAUCUCCCUGAGGAUAGUGGCUUUUGACAGUUUUGAGCUGCAUCCUAGGCCCUUGUCAUUUGUUAAAAUAAGUAACUACUGGCUACAUGUAACUUGGAGACUGUGUUGGCUGGGACUUGAAGACAGACGUCAGUUACAUCUUGAAAGAUAUUUAGAGAAUAACUUUGAAGUGUGGGAAGCAACUAGACUCUUAGCUAUCUUUGUCAUUAUGCUUUUAAAAUAUUUGAAACACACUGUUUGUUUGGAGAUGUCAUAGUGAAACCCAUUAUUCUGUGUAAUUAAUAAAUACAAAGAAAAUUAUUUGAAA